AGUAGGGUCAGCUAAACAAGCUAUCGGGCCCAUACCCCGAAAACGCCACAACCGGCCCCUACUA
rnacentral:tRNA from 1 species